UUAAAAAUACAGAAGUUGGGACUACCU
rnacentral:piRNA from 1 species